rnacentral:lncRNA from 1 species
CGCAGUCUUACUCAACUGCAGAAUUUCCCUAUCCUUCGCUUCGACAAUGGCCUUCAACCUUUUCACCUCCUCAAAUGGCUCAUCUUGAAUUUCUUGUGCAGCGGAUCUUCCUACCCAAUCUUCGUAUUGCGGAGUGGUCAAUCCCCUUUGCUUGAGUUCCGGGAUGUAUCGAAAUCUCACGUCAUCCGAUAGUGUCACCCAUGCCUCGAUAAUCUG